UGCAAGUCGAGCGCAGGAAACCAGAUGACCCCUUCGGGGUGAUUCUGGCGGAAUGAGCGGCGGACGGGUGAGUAACACGUGGGCAACCUGCCUGUAAGACUGGGAUAACUUCGGGAAACCGGAGCUAAUACCGGAUAGUAUUUCCUUUCUCCUGAUUGGAAAUGGAAAGACGGUUUCGGCUGUCACUUACAGAUGGGCCCGCGGUGCAUUAGCUAGUUGGUGGGGUAAUGGCCCACCAAGGCGACGAUGCAUAGCCGACCUGAGAGGGUGAUCGGCCACACUGGGACUGAGACACGGCCCAGACUCCUACGGGAGGCAGCAGUAGGGAAUCUUCCGCAAUGGACGAAAGUCUGACGGAGCAACGCCGCGUGAGCGAUGAAGGCCUUCGGGUCGUAAAGCUCUGUUGUCAGGGAAGAAUAAGUACAAGAGUAACUGCUUGUACCUUGACGGUACCUGACCAGAAAGCCCCGGCUAACUACGUGCCAGCAGCCGCGGUAAUACGUAGGGGGCAAGCGUUGUCCGGAAUUAUUGGGCGUAAAGGGCGCGUAGGCGGUUUCUUAAGUCUGAUGUGAAAGCCCACAGCUUAACUGUGGAGGGUCAUUGGAAACUGGGGAACUUGAGUGCAGAAGAGGAGAGUGGAAUUCCACGUGUAGCGGUGAAAUGCGUAGAUAUGUGGAGGAACACCAGUGGCGAAGGCGACUCUCUGGUCUGUAACUGACGCUGAGGCGCGAAAGCGUGGGGAGCGAACA
rnacentral:rRNA from 1 species